UACGUAGGGGGCAAGCGUUAUCCGGAUUUACUGGGUGUAAAGGGAGCGUAGGUGGCAGGGCAAGUCAGAUGUGAAAACCCGGGGCUCAACCCCGGGAGUGCAUUUGAAACUGUCCAGCUGGAGUGCAGGAGAGGUAAGCGGAAUUCCUAGUGUAGCGGUGAAAUGCAUAGAUAUUAGGAGGAACACCAGUGGCGAAGGCGGCUUACUGGACUGUAACUGACACUGAGGCUCGAAAGCGUGGGGAGCAAACAGG
rnacentral:rRNA from 1 species